UACGUAGGGUGCGAGCGUUGUCCGGAAUUAUUGGGCGUAAAGGGCUCGUAGGCGGUUUGUCGCGUCGGGAGUGAAAUCCACUGGCUUAACUGGUGGCCUGCUUUCGAUACGGGCAGACUGGAGGUAUGCAGGGGAGAACGGAAUUCCUGGUGUAGCGGUGAAAUGCGCAGAUAUCAGGAGGAACACCGGUGGCGAAGGCGGGUCUCUGGGCCGAUACUGACGCUGAGGAGCGAAAGCGUGGGGAGCGAACAGG
rnacentral:rRNA from 1 species